rnacentral:rRNA from 1 species
GACGAACGCUGGCGGCGUGCUUAACACAUGCAAGUCGAACGGUGAAGCGCCUUCCUUUUUGGUGGGUGUGGAUGAGUGGCGAACGGGUGAGUAACACGUGAGUAACCUGCCCCCUUCUUCUGGAUAACCGCAUGAAAGUGUGGCUAAUACGGGAUAUUCUGGGUCUGUCGCAUGAUGGGUCUGGGAAAGAUAUUGUUUCGGUGGGGGAUGGGCUCGCGGCCUAUCAGCUUGUUGGUGGGGUGAUGGCCUACCAAGGCGGUGACGGGUAGCCGGCCUGAGAGGGUGGACGGUCACACUGGGACUGAGACACGGCCCAGACUCCUACGGGAGGCAGCAGUGGGGAAUAUUGCACAAUGGUCGCAAGCCUGAUGCAGCGACGCCGCGUGAGGGAUGGAGGCCUUCGGGUUGUGAACCUCUUUCGCCAGUGAAGCAGGCCUGCCUCGUUUGUGGGUGGGUUGACGGUAGCUGGAUAAGAAGCGCCGGCUAACUACGUG